GAUGAACGCUAGCUACAGGCUUAACACAUGCAAGUCGAGGGGCAGCAUGGUCUUAGCUUGCUAAGGCCGAUGGCGACCGGCGCACGGGUGAGUAACACGUAUCCAACCUGCCGUCUACUCUUGGACAGCCUUCUGAAAGGAAGAUUAAUACAAGAUGGCAUCAUGAGUCCACAUGUUCACAUGAUUAAAGGUAUUCCGGUAGACGAUGGGGAUGCGUUCCAUUAGAUAGUAGGCGGGGUAACGGCCCACCUAGUCUUCGAUGGAUAGGGGUUCUGAGAGGAAGGUCCCCCACAUUGGAACUGAGACACGGUCCAAACUCCUACGGGAGGCAGCAGUGAGGAAUAUUGGUCAAUGGACGAGAGUCUGAACCAGCCAAGUAGCGUGCAGGAAGACGGCCCUAUGGGUUGUAAACUUCUUUUAUAAAGGAAUAAAGUCGGGUAUGCAUACCCGUUGCAUGUACUUUAUGAAUAAGGAUCGGCU
rnacentral:rRNA from 1 species